rnacentral:lncRNA from 1 species
UAUACUAGUUUAUGUUUGUGAUCUUGGAAAUGAGUUGGAUGCUUAAUGACGCAACAAUGGCAACCUCUAUCCUCCAAGAACCACGGUGGCUCUAUUGGCCAGUGCCUACUUUUGAAGGAAAAAAAAACAGGUGGGAGUGAUUUUUCUAUCAGAAAGAAACUUAUUAGUGGAUACGGCAUUUUUUUAUUAUAUUUCAGAAAGCAACAAACUGCUGCCGAUAUUCGCGACCUUUACUUUAAUUUGUUAUUCCUCAUGCCUUUGUGCUUCUUAUGCUCAAAUUAUUCUGAACAAUCCUUUUAUGUAGAAUAGUUCGUUAUAUGGUUCCUUUUCCAUAAAGUUCUACCAUACUAAAAAGCAAAGUGAAUUUCGUCUUAGCAUGCUAAAUGCGUGUAGCUCGCCUAAUUAAAGAUUUAUUUCCAUAUUCUCAUUUCCAC